AGAAUCAACGCUGGCGGCGUGCCUAACACAUGCAAGUCGAACGGGAAAGUGGAGCAAUCCAUGAGUAUAGUGGCGACCGGGUGAGUAACACGUGACUAACCUACCUUCAAGUGGGGGAUAACCUCGGGAAACCUGGGCUAAUACCGCAUAAUAUCUUUGUGCUGAGAAAGCAGAGAUCAAAGGAGUAAUUCGCUGGAAGAGGGGGUCGCGGCUGAUUAGCUAGUUGGUGGGGUAACGGCCCACCAAGGCUUUGAUCGGUAGCCGGCCUGAGAGGGCGCACGGCCACACUGGAACUGAAACACGGUCCAGACUCCUACGGGAGGCAGCAGUGGGGAAUUUUGCGCAAUGGGGGAAACCCUGACGCAGCAACGCCGCGUGGAGGAUGAAGUCCCUUGGGACGUAAACGUCCUUUCGACCGGGAAGAUUAUGACGGUACCGGUGGAAGAAGCCCGGCUAACUUCGUGCCAGCAGCCGC
rnacentral:rRNA from 1 species